rnacentral:rRNA from 1 species
CACGUAGGGGGCGAGCGUUGUCCGGAUUUAUUGGGCGUAAAGAGCUCGUAGGCGGCUCAGUAAGUCAGGUGUGAAAACUCCAGGCUCAACCUGGAGACGCCACUUGAUACUGCUGUGGCUAGAGUCCGGUAGGGGAGCAUGGAAUUCCUGGUGUAGCGGUGAAAUGCGCAGAUAUCAGGAGGAACACCAGUGGCGAAGGCGGUGGUCUGGGCCGAUACUGACGCUGUAGAGCGAAAGCGUGGGGAGCGAACAGG